AGUAGUGUGGUGUAUUGGUUUGAGCAUUGGACUAUGACUCUGGAGACCAGGGUUCAAAUCCCUGUUCAGCCA
rnacentral:tRNA from 1 species